rnacentral:rRNA from 1 species
GACGAACGCUGGCGGCGUGCUUCAUACAUGCAAGUCGAACGAGAAGCUGACUUCUGUCUGUGGAAAGUGGCGGACGGGUGAGUAAUAUGUAGGAAAUCUGCCUUUAGGAGGGGGACAACAGAGGGAAACUUCUGCUAAUACCCCAUAUGAGCGUAGCUGAAAUGCUAUUCUUGAAAACUCCGGUGCCUAAAGAUGAGCCUGCAUCUGAUUAGCUAGUUGGUAGUGUAAUGGACUACCAAGGCGACGAUCAGUAGCUGGUUUGAGAGGAUGAUAAGCCACAAUGGGACUGAGACACGGACCCUACUCCUACGCGAGGCAGCAGUAGAGAAUUUUGCGCAAGGGGCGAAAGCGUGACGACGCAACGCCGCGUGAACGAUUAAGCCCUUCGGGGUGUACAGUUCUGUCAGUGGGGACGAAACUUGACGGUACCCACAGAGGAAGCACCGGCUAACUCCGU